rnacentral:misc_RNA from 1 species
GAUGAAGAACGUAGCGAAAUGCGAUACGUAAUGUGAAUUGCAGAAUUCAGUGAAUCAUCGAAUCUUUGAACGCACAUUGCACUCCUUGGUAUUCCGAGGAGUAUGCCUGUUUCAGUAUCAUGGGCACUCUCACAUCUAACCUUUGGGUUAAAAUGUGGAAUUGGGAUGCGCCGGUUAUUAUAACGGCCCUCCUAAAAUUCAGUUCUUGGCUGCUUCCUACUACAGCAGUUUGGCCUAAUAGUUUUGAGUCUUCGAUUCAAAUCUUUGGCUAACAUUUGCUUCAGGAUGUCAGUCUUGAUAUACAGAAAUCUCAUUCAAACUUUGAUCUGAAAUCAGGUAGGGCUACCCGCUGAACUUAAGCAUAUCAAUAAGCGGAGGA